rnacentral:rRNA from 1 species
AGAGUUUGAUCCUGGCUCAGGAUGAACGCUGGCGGUAUGCUUAACACAUGCAAGUCGAACGAAAGUUUUUAACUUUAGUGGCGAACGGGUGCGUAAUACGUGAGAAUCUGCCCUUAGGAGAAGAAUAACUGCUGGAAACGGCUGCUAAAUCUUCAUAUGCCGAGAGGUGAAAUAGUUUUAACUGCCUAAGGAUGAGCUCACGCCUGAUUAGCUUGUUGGUAAGGUAAUGGCUUACCAAGGCCACGAUCAGUAGCUGGUUUGAGAGAACGAUCAGCCACACUGGGACUGAGACACGGCCCAGACUCCUCCGGGAGGCAGCAGUGAGGAAUUUUCCGCAAUGGGCGAAAGCCUGACGGAGCAAUACCGCGUGAGGGAUGAAGGAUUUUGGUCUGUAAACCUCUUUUCUCAAGAAAGAAGUUCUGACGGUACUUGAGGAAUAAGCAUCGGCUAACUCCGUGCCAGCAGCCGCGGUAAUACGGGGGAUGCAAGCGUUAUCCGGAAUCAUUGGGCGUAAAGCGCCUGUAGGUUGUUUAAUAAGUCUGUUGUUAAAGACUAGGGCUUAACCCUAGGAAAGCAAUGGAAACUACUAGACUUGAGUAUGGCAGGGGUAGAGGGAAUUUCUAGUGUAGCGGUGAAAUGCGUAGAUAUUAGAAAGAACACCGGUGGCGAAAGCGCUCUACUGGACCAUUACUGACACUCAGAGGCGAAAGCUAGGGUAGCAAAAGGGAUUAGAUACCCCUGUAGUCCUAGCCGUAAACGAUGGAUACUAGAUGUUGCGUUUAUUAUGCAGUAUCGUAGCUAACGCGUUAAGUAUCCCGCCUGGGGAGUACGCUCGCAAGGGUGAAACUCAAAGGAAUUGACGGGGGCCCGCACAAGCGGUGGAGCAUGUGGUUUAAUU